rnacentral:rRNA from 1 species
AGAGUUUGAUCAUGGCUCAGAUUGAACGCUGGCGGCAUGCCUUACACAUGCAAGUCGAACGGCAGCGCGGGCUUCGGCCUGGCGGCGAGUGGCGAACGGGUGAGUAACAUAUCGGAACGUGCCCUGGAGUGGGGGAUAGCUCGGCGAAAGCCGGAUUAAUACCGCAUACGAUCUACGGAUGAAAGUGGGGGACCGCAAGGCCUCACGCUCGUGGAGCGGCCGAUAUCUGAUUAGCUAGUUGGUGGGGUAAAGGCCUACCAAGGCAUCGAUCAGUAGCUGGUCUGAGAGGACGACCAGCCACACUGGGACUGAGACACGGCCCAGACUCCUACGGGAGGCAGCAGUGGGGAAUUUUGGACAAUGGGCGCAAGCCUGAUCCAGCAAUGCCGCGUGAGUGAAGAAGGCCUUCGGGUUGUAAAGCUCUUUUGUCAGGGAAGAAAAGGCGGGGGCUAAUAUCCUCUGCCGAUGACGGUACCUGAAGAAUAAGCACCGGCUAACUACGUGCCAGCAGCCGCGGUAAUACGUAGGGUGCAAGCGUUAAUCGGAAUUACUGGGCGUAAAGCGUGCGCAGGCGGUUGUGCAAGACAGAUGUGAAAUCCCCGGGCUCAACCUGGGAAUUGCAUUUGUGACUGCACGGCUAGAGUGUGUCAGAGGGGGGUAGAAUUCCACGUAGCAGUGAAAUGCGUAGAGAUGUGGAGGAAUACCGAUGGCGAAGGCAGCCCCCUGGGAUAACACUGACGCUCAUGCACGAAAGCGUGGGGAGCAAACAGGAUUAGAUACCCUAGUAGUCC